CAUAACUGGAGCAGCUUGCGAACAGCCUCGCCCGGCCAAUGGAGAAUCAAACUCCUUCCGAACUUCCUCCACAAACACCGAACUUCCUCCCACACCAUCAUGGCCCAGGCGAGUGCCCUCCCGGACAUCAGCGUAAUGAUGUACGCGGUCCGAGGGGAACGAAGGCUGCAGCUCAAAAAUGAGGGAGCACUGGGAGAGAAAAGCCUGUCCGGUUCCAGAAUCUUCAUCGUAGCACUCUGGAGGAGUGUGCAGGUGGUGGGGGUCAGGGAGGUGUGUGGGGUUUGCCUCCUCAGUGGAGGAGCCCUGAGCCUCUGUUUCCAGUGUCUACACCUGCUGUCACUUCCCAAAGUUGGUCAGACUUCAAAAACUCAGGAGCAGAGCUACUCUGAGACCAUCCUACACAAGUAUGAACUAGACUUCAUCGUGGGAGACCAGGGCUCCAAAGAUGGGGUCCUCCAGAGGGCUUUCCACAACACUUCCAGGCCUCUCUCAGAUACUCGGGGCAACUUUCAAUGGAACACGCACACACGAGUUUAGCAGAACUCCAAGAUGGAUAGACUUUUGCCAAGCAGGAGAAAGAUGUUUUCCCCCUCCGCCAGUAUUUGGUUGCUACGGUGACCUGCUCCUCAAGGCCCCAAAAUAAGGGGUGAGGAAUGCGGUGCUGUGGAAGUUAACGAUCGACGGCUCAUGAAAGAAACCCUCUAUAUUUGGAGACUCUGAGCGGGACCACGCUUCACAGUUGGCAGCGAUAUUGUUUUUCUUGACAGUGUUUCAGCUUUGAUGGAUGAUAAUGAUGAUGUAUGUGUGCCAACAUUGAUUUGUAAUUAUGAACGUUGUAUGUGUGGGGUUGUGCUCUGUUGUGCUGCCAGUGCGCAAGUAUAGCUGAAGAACACAUUUAAGACACCUCUAGGUGGCACUCAUAUGUCAAUCAAUCUAUGAAAGGCCCAACAUCAUGUAAAAACUGUCAUGAAACAUUUGUUACAUUUUCUCAAUGUACAGGACCAUUGGGACUCAAUGUCUUUAUAGGAGGCCCAUCAAUAGACUGACUCUGAAGGAGAGAGAAUGGGGGAAACUUGCCAAGGCACAAGGUAGGGGGAUGUUGCCAUUCCUUUCAUUUCCAAAACAAACAUGAGAUGUGAACAUUGUGAACCAGAUGGGUUUAAUGUAUCUGGUAUUCGAACAAGAUCAGGCCAGGAUAUACUCUGGCUCUGUUCAGCUCUACAAACCUCUGUCAUGUUUUCACUAUCAGGACUCUCAUAACAAAGCCUCCAUUAACACUUUAUAAAGCCUAUAUAGAUUGUGCCGAAAUCAUUCAUAAGUACAUGUCAUGGGUGGUAAAAAGAGUCAGGCCACAUUUGUCAAAGAACUACAUAUUGUUAUGUCUCUCUGCAGAUUAAAGGCUACUGAUUAUGUCAGCCUUGCUUGCCAGGUUUGAGACCUACAGCAAUCUACAUACUGUAUGUGCAUUCGGGAAGUAUUCAGACCCCUUGACUUUUUCCACAUUUUCUUACGUUACAGCCUUGUUCUAAAAUGGAUUAAAUCUUUUUUUGUUUUCAUCAAUCUACACACAAUUCCCUAUAAUGACAAAGUGAAAUUAGAAAUAUUUGCAAAUGUAUUAAAUAUAAAAACAGACAUCUUAUUUACACAAGUAUUCAGACCCUUUGCUAUGAGACUUGAAAUUGAGCUCAGGUGCAUCCUGUUUCCAUUGAUCAUCCUUGAUGUUUAUACAACUUGAUUGGAGUCCAACUGUGGUAAAUCCAAUUGAUUGGACAUGAUUUGACACACCUGUCUAUAUAAGGUCCCACAGUUGACAGAGCAUGUCAGAAAAAAACAAAACCAUGAGGUUGAAGGAAUUGUCCGUAGAGCUCCAAGACAGGAUUGUCACAGAUCUGGGGAAGGGUACCAAAAAAUGUCUGCAGCAUUGAAGGUCCCCCAAAACUCAGUGGCCUCUAAUUCUUAAAUAGAAGAAGUUUGGAACCACCAAGACUCUUCCUAGAGAUGGCCAAUCUGAGCAAUUGGGUCAGGGAGGUGACCAGGAACCCGAUGGUCAUUCUGACAGAGCUCCAGAGUUAAUCUGUGGAGAUGGUUGUCCUUCUGGAAAGUUCUCCCAUCUCUGCAGCACUCCACCAAUCAGGACUUUAUGGUAGAGUGGCCAGAUGGAAGCCACUCCUCAGUAAAAGGCACAUGACAGCCCGCUUGGAGCACCUAAAGAUUCUCUGGUCUGAUGAAACUUUAGCCUAAAUGCCAAGCAUCAAGUCUGGAGAUGACCAGGCACCACUCAUCACCGGCCCAAUACCAUCCCUACGUUGAAGCAUGGUGGUGGCAGCAUCAUGCUGUGGGGAUGUUUUUCAGCGGCAGGGACUGUGAGACUAGUCAGGAUAGAGGGAAAGAUGAACGGAGCAAAGUACAGAGAUUCUUGAUGAAAACCUGCUCCAGAGCGCUCAUGACCUCAGACUGGAGCAAAGGUUCCCCUUCCAACCAACGACCCUAAGCAUACAGUCAAGACAACGCAGGAGUGGCUUCAGGACAAGUCUCUGAAUGUCCUUGUGUGGACCAGCCAGAGCCCGGAAUUGAACCGGAAUUAACAUCUCUGGAUAGACCUGAAAACAGCUGUGCAGUGACGCUCCCCAUUCAACCUGACAGAGCUUGAGAGGAUCUGCGGAGAAGAAUUGGAGAAACUCCCCAUAUACAGGUGUGCCAAGCUUGUAGUGUCAUACCCAAGAAGACUCUAAGCUGUAAUUGCUUCCAAAGGUGCUACAGCAAAGUACUGAGUAAAGGGUCUGAAUAGUUAUGUAAAUGUAAUAUUUCAGUUUUUUUUAUACAUUUGCAAAAAUGUCUAAAACCUAGUUUUUGCCUCGUCAUUAUGGGGUAUUGUGUGUAGAUUAAUGAGGAGGAAAAUAGAAUUUAAUCAAUUUUAAGGCUGUAACGUAACAAAAUGUGGAAAAAGUUAAGAGGUCUGAAUACUUUCCAAAUGCACUGUAGGUUACUGUUUACAAAUGCCCAAAACUGCUCUACUCCCUCUACCACUGAGAAUCUUUCUGGUUCAACCCUACGCUUAAGUCAUCUUGCUUUUGAAAGAAAUGUUUCUCUGACAUUUUUGUUUCAUGUUUGGGUUGUGAGUUGAGACAAAAUGGGGCUGUGUGUGUGCACAUACAGAGCUGCUCUCUCAUUCACCUUCUCAAGAUGAGCUUCCACCACAUCCUGUCACUGUGUUGUCAUUCAUGGCCCUGGAAUUCGUUGGAAUAAUAUGAUAAGUGAAAUUCCCACGAUAGGCGUCCUCUUUUCACAGCUUUAGGACAUUCCAGAGAAUCUGCACAGCCAUUUGGCUGUGAAGAGAUCACAUGGGUGUUCCUGUUGUGCCAUGACUGAUCUGAGGAGGAUGAGGGGAGCUUGACUUCCAGGCAUGACCCCUCUUUUCCAAUACCAUUGUUAUGGAGAGGAAGUGGUGCUUAUUGUCUUUGCCCCUGUGGGCCCAGCCUAGGCUACUAGGGUUAGGGUCAGCCUAAAAUGGGGCUAGGGUUAGGGUCAGCCUAGGCUGGAAUUAGUGUUAGGGUUAGCCUAGGCUGGGGUUAGGGUUAGCCUAGGCUGGGGUUAGGGUCAGCCUAGGGCCUAGGCUAUUGGGGUUAGGGUUAGGGUCAGCCUAGGCUGGGGUUAGGGUUAGGGUCAGCCUAGGCUGAGAUUAGUAUAAGGGUUAGUCUAGGCUGGGGUUAGGGUCAGACUAG
ensembl:lncRNA